rnacentral:rRNA from 1 species
UACGUAGGCAGCAAGCGUUGUUCGGAGUUACUGGGCGUAAAGGGUGCGUAGGCGGUUGUUUAAGUUUGGUGUGAAAUCUCCCGGCUCAACUGGGAGGGUGCGCCGAAUACUGAAUGACUAGAGUGCGGGAGAGGAGAGUGGAAUUCCUGGUGUAGCGGUGAAAUGCGUAGAUAUCAGGGAGGAACACCGGUGGUGUAGACGGCUCUCUGGACCGUAACUGACGCUGAGGCACAAGGCCAGGGGAGCAAACGGGG